GCCCGGAUGGCGAAAUUGGUAGACGCAAGGGACUUAAAAUCCCUCGACCGCAACGGUCAUGCCGGUUCGAUUCCGGCUCCGGGCACCA
rnacentral:tRNA from 1 species